rnacentral:pre_miRNA from 10 species
GUCUCUGUCUCUCUCUCGCAGCUGCCGGCGUCAUUUUUGUGAUUUGCAGCUAGUAAUCUGGCUCCAGUUGCAUAGUCACAAAAGUGAUCGUUGGCAGCCGUGCCUGCUGCAUGGAGCAU